rnacentral:pre_miRNA from 1 species
GCAUGUAGAUUGUGUCAGCACCAAGGACAGGUGUGUCUACCUGUGGGUGGAUGGUGUUCAGGACCAAGGACAGGUGUGUUUACCU